rnacentral:rRNA from 1 species
AACGCGAAGAACCUUACCCAGGCUUGAACAGCGAGUGACCACUCAUGAAAGUGAGCUUCCGCAAGGACACUCGUAGAGGUGCUGCAUGGCUGUCGUCAGCUCGUGUCGUGAGAUGUUGGGUUAAGUCCCGCAACGAGCGCAACCCUUAUCCCUAGUUGCCAUCGGGUCAAGCCGGGCACUCUAGUGAAACCGCCCCGGAUAACGGGGAGGAAGGUGGGGAUGACGUCAAGUCCUCAUGGCCUUUAUGUCCAGGGCUACACACGUGCUACAAUGGUCGGUACAAACCGUCGCAAACCCGCGAGGGGGAGCUAAUCGGAAAAAGCCGACCUCAGUUCGGAUUGGAGUCUGCAACUCGACUCCAUGAAGCUGGAAUCGCUAGUAAUCGCGGAUCAGAACGCCGCGGUGAAUACGUUCCCGGGCCUUGUACACACCGCACGA